ensembl:snoRNA
CAACAAUGAUGGCAAUAUCUUUUUGUCAGCAGCAAUUCACCGUGAGAGUGUUGUUGAUAUUUUAGGUCCCAGCGG